UCCCUGGUGGCCCAGUGGUAAAGAAUCUGCCUGCAAUGCAGGAGACCCAGGUUCAAUCCCUGGGUUGGGAA
rnacentral:tRNA from 1 species